CUCACGGGAGACAGCGAGGCGAGGGAAGGACGCUUGGAGGCUCUUUACGCCAUGGCAUCGGCACACGGUUCUGUUACAUCACAGUCUUCUCUCUUUCGGAAGUGAGGGAGGAGAGGGAGAACCUGCGGGCAGCUCAGACCUCAGGCAUCAGACCACGGAGAACCCAUCUCAGGGGGAGGAGUAACCGGGCCCUGGAUGUGAUGUGAUGAAUGGAUAUUCCUAAUGAGAAGUGGAAAUAAUAUGUAGUUGAGAGCUAUGCCUCAGACCAGAGUGACAGGUUACCCGGCUGGGCUAUAUUUUCCAGCAGAUUAAGCUAAAAGCUGUGACCCAAGAUGCUGAAAUAUGAAAUAUAAAGGAAAAAGGAGAUGACAAGACAUCUUUUUAUGGAAAUGUUUUCCAGCCAAGUGGUACAGAAGAGGACUAUGAGGGAUUUGUUUUUGUUUCAACCAAAGAUGCCCAUUUCACCAUGCAGUAAUCUAAAAUCGAAAUGGAUUAAAGAUCUAAAUAUAAAAACAGAAACACUGAACUGGCUGGAACAGAGAACUAGCUGGCAGAACUCUUGAAGACAUUGGAGUAGGAAAAGAUUUUAUGAACAAAACCUCAGUUGCCCGUGAACUAGCACAAACAAUCAACAAGUGGGAUCUCUUCUUAUGAAAAAGCUUCUGCACAGCAAGAGAAACCACCAGCAGUGUGAAGAGCC
ensembl:lncRNA